rnacentral:rRNA from 1 species
UCUUCCACAAUGGACGAAAGUCUGAUGGAGCAACGCCGCGUGAGUGAAGAAGGGUUUCGGCUCGUAAAACUCUGUUGUUAAAGAAGAACAUAUCUGAGAGUAACUGUUCAGGUAUUGACGGUAUUUAACCAGAAAGCCACGGCUAACUACGUGCCAGCAGCCGCGGUAAUACGUAGGUGGCAAGCGUUGUCCGGAUUUAUUGGGCGUAAAGCGAGCGCAGGCGGUUUUUUAAGUCUGAUGUGAAAGCCUUCGGCUCAACCGAAGAAGUGCAUCGGAAACUGGGAAACUUGAGUGCAGAAGAGGACAGUGGAACUCCAUGUGUAGCGGUGAAAUGCGUAUAUAUAUGGAACAACACCAGUGGCGAAGGCGGCUGUCUGGUUCUGUAACUGACGCUGAGGCUCGAAAGUAUGGGUAGCAAACAGGAUUAGAUACCCUGGUAGUCCAUACCGUAAACGAUGAAUGCUAAGUGUUGGAGGGUUUCCGCCCUUCAGUGCUGCAGCUAACGCAUUAAGCAUUCCGCCUGGGGAGUACGGCCGCAAGGCUGAAACUCAAAGGAAUUGACGGGGGCCCGCACAAGCGGUGGAGCAUGUGGUUUAAUUCGAAGCUACGCGAAGAACCUUACCAGGUCUUGACAUACUAUGCAAAUCUAAGAGAUUAGACGUUCCCUUCGGGGACAUGGAUACAGGUGGUGCAUGGUUGUCGUCAGCUCGUGUCGUGAGAUGUUGAGUUAAGUCCCGCAACGAGCGCAACCCUUAUUAUCAGUUGCCAGCAUUAAGUUGGGCACUCUGGUGAGACUGCCGGUGACAAACCGGAGGAAGGUGGGGAUGACGUCAAAUCAUCAUGCCCCUUAUGACCUGGGCUACACACGUGCUACAAUGGAUGGUACAACGAGUUGCGAACUCGCGAGAGUAAGCUAAUCUCUUAAAGCCAUUCUCAGUUCGGAUUGUAGGCUGCAACUCGCCUAC